UGGCAGAAGUUCCUCUUUGCUGGGUCUCUGCAGAAAGAGCUUCAAGUCUGCUGUGUUUAAGUUGUUUUACAGAGAGCAAGGGGCAACCCAACAGAGGGGAGGAACAGAAAAUGCAGAGAGAAAGGAGUGUGUCUGCCCCCACUGACUGGAGGAGCUGAUGCUCUUUGGCUGCACUGGAUGAAAGGGAAGCCCAACACCAGCACUCCCAGCAGCACUGCCAGCCCUGUGCCUUCCUGUCACCCCAGCCCUGGUGAGCCUUCAUCUUCUCCUUUUCAUGCUGGGCUGUCCACUCCUGAAGAUAUUGAUCAGCACUGAGGAGAUCCCCAAAUGCUUUUGGCUUUCCCAUUGCUGCCUGCACAAGCAUCGUGGUACCUCCAGCCCUGCUAACACCUGUGCCACGCUCAGCACUGCAGGACCCCAUCAGAAAGGCACAUCUGGUUAUAACCAUGUCAAAAGUCCAGUGUGACAUCCCAGCCUUGAUGGCAAAACUCCUGCUGGCAUCCUGGGGACCAGGAGCACUCUCCACAAGGCUCAGGGACCUCUCUGGAAGAAGCUACCUGCCUUUGGACACAGUGACCUCUCCACACACAAGGCUCAGGGACCUCUCUGGAAGAAGCUACCUGCCUUUGGACACAGUGACCUCUCCACACACAAGGCUCAGGGACCUCUCUGGAAGAAGCUACCUGCCUUUGGACACAGUGACCUCUCCACACACAAGGCUCAGGGACCUCUCUGGAAGAAGCUACCUGCCUUUGGAUGCAGUGACCUCUCCACACACGAGGCUCAGGGACCUCUCUGGAAGAAGCUACCUGCCUUUGGACGCAGUGACCUGUCCACAAGGCUCAGGGACCUCUUUGUAAGAGGCUACCUACUUUUGGACACAGUUUCCAAGGAAAGGCAAACUGGGAGAAGUGGUAUGGUCAUGGAGAAGUGUGGGAGUCCCAUGGGUACAGCCAGCUGAGAAAGGUUGUUGCAAAUGAGCCUGAGAGGCUUCUGGUGGACCCUGAGGAGAAGAAGGGAGAGACAUGUGGGGUGAUUGGAAGCUGAAUGUCUGCAUUGGAAGGGUUGGUGGAGAAUUGCAGCUUCAGGACCCGCAGAAUAGCAGGGGUUGGAAGGAACCUCUAGGGAUCAUUUAGUCCUGCCUCCACCCUGCAUGGAGGAGGCAAACGCUUCCUACCACGACUUUCCACCCAGAUAAUGCCAUUCAGAAGGCAUCAUCCAUGCCAUUGACAUGUCUUCUUGCUCUGUGUCUCUGGAUUUAGCACAUGAAGCUCUAAAUAUUUCAGGACCACACUGCUACACACAGCAGCUCUGUCCUUCUUUGCAGCCAAGGCAGCAUUGUGCAACCAGUUGGAGAGAGAUGGUGCUUGGGAUGCUGGAAGGGAGCAUUACCUUCAGAAGGGAGCCUGUUCAUGUAGCUUGGUGUCCUGGUGGAGAAAGGACAGGGGAAGAAGAUGAAAGAGAUUUAAAAGCAUCAGCAGUUGCUGCCGUCCUGGGAGCUUUCCUGCUGCAGCAGCAGAAGCCAAGGGGAAAUCUUUCUUGUUCCACACUGAUGGAAGUGGGAUCAGGCUAUUUAUCUUUGAUGAAUUGCCAAGAAAUGGUUGAUUGUGUUUAGAAGCAGCAGGAAGGUAUAAUAAAUGGUGCUUCCUCCUCUGAGACAGGGUGAGAAGCAGAGAGUGAGCAGAGCAGACCUGCUAACUGCCUGGGCGCAUCCCUUCUCGCGUGGUGACCGAUGUGGUUCCGGCUUCCACCGU